rnacentral:lncRNA from 1 species
AAGACCACAGGGCAACCUGUCAUUUAUUUCCUUCUCAAAGAUUUACUGAAUACUUAUUAUUAUGUGCCAGGGACUUCUCUAGAAACUGAGAUACUGUAAGUACCCACGUUAUAUCUAGAUAUUGGAAUACAGACAACAAGAACUACUAGAAAGAAAAUCUUGGCUUUAUUUAGCCUAUAUUUUAGCAAAAGAGACCAAUAAUAGAUGGUCUAAGUAAAUUAUGUACUGUGUCAUAUGGUGUUGAAGACUAAGGAGAUAAAGAAAGCAGGGAAAGGAGAUAGGAAGUAGUGGGAUGGGCUGAAGUUCCAGGUAGAAUGCAUCAUCUACUGAAGAGAAGAGCAUCAAGAGACGGUGAACCACAGGAGAAGAAAAGAAUAAGUGGAGUGAUGUAUUGGAAUGACCGAGAAAGAAUGAGACGUAAUUUACAAGUGAAAGGAAUGGCCUUGACUAGGAGUGAAGAUACACACAAAGAAUAUGGACAUAGUUGCAAGCAGCUUAAGAAGAAAACACAGCUGGACCUACAAUCGGGGAAAAUCCAUAACAGGCAAGACAAGAGCAAUUUCUCUGCCAGCUUCUUGCUACCUGCUGUCUCUAAUUGGCCAAACUUCUCACGGUGGAGUGCUCUCUCCUCCCCAUGUCUAAGUUGUCUUGUCUGGCCCCUCCAGGCAGGCACUGGGAAGCCAUAGCCUCAGUAUGACAGGUUGAGUCACACAUGGCAGUACAGCUGAUGAGUGCCUGCUCCUCUGGGCAUGAUGGACACUCUGCCAGUGUGUGGCCCUUAUCCCAAGGCAGGCAGAGACAAGCAAUAGUGGGAGAAGAUAAGAAGAUGGUGAUGACCAGGGCUCUGCAAUUGUGGGGACUUUGUGACUUGUUGCUGAGACCACUCUGUCCAGGAGCUAGGGCACAGAGCUAUGGGCUCUUGUUCUUAUUCUGGGGCUAUCAUCUAGGGAGAUCAUGAGGAAAUUGUGUGUCUCCAUUCCUUCAUCUGUUUCAAGACAACAUUUUAUGAGGUUAGUAAAAAUGACUGGAAAUAAUGUUCUGUCAUUCUAUUAAUUCAAAGAAGUUUGAGCACCUUCUGUGUUUACUUCCUCUCAGUUAUAUAUUUAUCUAACAGUGUAUUGCUAAGAAAUACUUCAGAACAUAUUCAUGUAAUAGCUGGAUUCUAGAUUCUAGAUUCUAAUUUCUAGAUUCUAAUUCUAAUCUAGAUUCUAGAUUCUAAACAUGGAAUAUUCUUACUGCAAUGGCAGUGAGUUGGGCAAAUAAUAAAUAGUGCAAGUUCCUAAAACAAAGUGCUGCAGCACUGACAGAGAGACCAUGAUAUUCUGUUGAUUAAAUUGACUUCAGUUUGGUCAUCAAAUAGGGCAAGAAACUUUUAAAAUAUCCUGUUUUGUAAUUAGUCAAAAAACAUGACAUGAAAAGCCUUCCUCUCUUGAUCUUUAUUCAUGCUCUACGGUAUUUUGAAAACUAAAAAUAAAUAGCCAAACCAGUGGAUUCUACACAGUUGAAGGUAGAAAAGGGAAGGAGGCAGUCUCACUUCUCCCCAUAAAAAAAAUGGUAUGUGCCAAAUGAGCAGCAAAGAGAAUAAGAGGAAUGGCUCAGGUCACCCAGGGCUGGGCUGAGAAAAAGAGGAGUAGAGCUUGAAUGGGUCUUUCAGAAAGGACACAUGUCAGAUAAGGUGGUGGGUUGAUAGUGGCAUUACAGAACUAUUUAAAAUCCUUUCAGUAGGGGGAAGAAGAAAUCAAUUAAUCUGAGUCAUGUGGUUUGGAUGUUAAAGCCUGAUAUCCUGUCAGUGUUGCUAUAGGCUCCCUGGAGAGAUAUUUUGGCUCUUGGCAAAGUGCUGUUGUUGACCUUACUGCCUGUAACAUUCAAAGGCUUAGAACAAAAACUGACCAGAAAGAAAGUGAAAGGCUAACCAAGAGAUUUGUAGGUCAGAACAUAGCAAGUGUCUGUUAUUCAUGUUAAUGGAAUGGAAAUAUGACAUAGAUAAUAAAUAGUCAUUGCUUUAGUUAGGACUAAGUUUGGUCACAAAUGACAAUAAACUCAAAAUAAAAGGGGGUUAGUCACAAUAGAAGUCUAUUUUCCUCUCACAUAUAUGUCCAGAGGGGAAGCCCAGGGGUGAUAUGAAUAUGAUGGUCCAUGAUGUUAUGGGAGCAGGCUUCAUCUGUCUUGCUGCUUGCCAUGCGUGGUCUCCAUACCCAAGGAUCACAUGGUCUCACAUGGCUGUUUCAACUCUAGCCAUAAAAACUAGUUCUGACAAUAAGAAAGAGAGCAAGAAAGGGAUGGGCCAUAUCCCUGACCUUUAAAGAUAUUUCCAAGAAGAUGUGACCUAUUUAUGUGUACAUACCAUUUCCAGAACUUCGUUAUCUACACACACUUAGCUGAAUGGUCAGACAGAAAGUGUAAUUUUUGCGUGAUGCUGCCAGAUGCCCAGCUAAGAUUUGGGGUUCCUAUUACUGAGAAAGAAGGGAACACAAUCUUGAAAGGACAACCAGCAGCCUCUGUCCCAAUCAUCUGAGACACUAGCAUUUGGUUUUCCAAACAAUUUUAUAAUUUUGAGCAAUAUAUUUGCAUUGUAAUUUUUAAAACUUAAUAUCAAUUUUUUUUAUUUUGUUGUUCAUUUAACCCACUUACUGAGCAGUACAGAAUUAAAAUUAUAAUUUCAUAUAGAUAUUGACAUUUCAUUUCUUCUGUGAGCCUAAAAAUCAUGGAUUUUCCAUUCUUUCAGCAGUAGUCUCUCAUUGUAGUGAUGCCUAAGUUAUGAUUUUGAAUGCGCAAAAGAAAUAAAAUUUAUUUAC